rnacentral:rRNA from 2 species
GAACGCUGGCGGCGUGCCUAAUACAUGCAAGUCGAGCGAACAGAUAAGGAGCUUGCUCCUUUGACGUUAGCGGCGGACGGGUGAGUAACACGUGGAUAACCUACCUAUAAGACUGGGAUAACUUCGGGAAACCGGAGCUAAUACCGGAUAACAUAUUGAACCGCAUGGUUCAAUAGUGAAAGGCGGCUUUGCUGUCACUUAUAGAUGGAUCCGCGCCGUAUUAGCUAGUUGGUAAGGUAACGGCUUACCAAGGCAACGAUACGUAGCCGACCUGAGAGGGUGAUCGGCCACACUGGAACUGAGACACGGUCCAGACUCCUACGGGAGGCAGCAGUAGGGAAUCUUCCGCAAUGGGCGAAAGCCUGACGGAGCAACGCCGCGUGAGUGAUGAAGGUCUUCGGAUCGUAAAACUCUGUUAUCAGGGAAGAACAAAUGUGUAAGUAACUGUGCACAUCUUGACGGUACCUGAUCAGAAAGCCACGGCUAACUACGUGCCAGCAGCCGCGGUAAUACGUAGGUGGCAAGCGUUAUCCGGAAUUAUUGGGCGUAAAGCGCGCGUAGGCGGUUUUUUAAGUCUGAUGUGAAAGCCCACGGCUCAACCGUGGAGGGUCAUUGGAAACUGGAAAACUUGAGUGCAGAAGAGGAAAGUGGAAUUCCAUGUGUAGCGGUGAAAUGCGCAGAGAUAUGGAGGAACACCAGUGGCGAAGGCGACUUUCUGGUCUGUAACUGACGCUGAUGUGCGAAAGCGUGGGGAUCAAACAGGAUUAGAUACCCUGGUAGUCCACGCCGUAAACGAUGAGUGCUAAGUGUUAGGGGGUUUCCGCCCCUUAGUGCUGCAGCUAACGCAUUAAGCACUCCGCC